rnacentral:misc_RNA from 1 species
UUUCCGUAGGUGAACCUGCGGAAGGAUCAUUAAUGAGUUGUCAUGGGGUUCGAUGCUGGCAGCCAAUUUUUGGAUGCAUGUGCUUGCCCUAACAAUCAUCUUCCAAACACCUGUGCACAUUUUUGAGGGAGUCUUGAGUUGGUUGCCGCUCUUGGGUGAUUUUCUCACAUUCCCUUAAAUCAUUAUACGCUAUUGACAAUGUUGAACGUGCUCUGUGCCGCAAGGCUAUUAAUAUAAUACAACUUUUAACAACGGAUCUCUUGGCUCUC